AUUGAACGCUGGCGGCAGGCUUAACACAUGCAAGUCGAGCGAGCGGCGGACGGGUGAGUAAUGUCUGGGAACCUGCCUGAUGGAGGGGGAUAACUACUGGAAACGGUAGCUAAUACCGCAUACCAUCAGAUGUGCCCAGAUGGGAUUAGCUAGUCGGUGGGGUAAUGGCUCACCUAGGCGACGAUCCCUAUCUGGUCUGAGAGGAUGACCAGCCACACUGGAACUGAGACACGGCCCAGACUCCUACGGGAGGCAGCAGUGGGGAAUAUUGCACAAUGGGCGCAAGCCUGAUGCAGCCAGGCCGCGUGGGUGAAGAAGGCUUUCGGGUUGUAAAGCACUUUCAGCGAGGAGGCGUUACCCGCAGAAGAAGCACCGGCUAACUCCGUGCCAGCAGCCGCGGUAAUUC
rnacentral:rRNA from 1 species